GAUGAACGCUGGCGGCGUGCCUAACACAUGCAAGUCGAACGGACUUAAGACGCUGAUGAGGCUUCGGCGGAUUCUUGUUUUAAGUUAGUGGCGGACGGGUGAGUAACGCGUGGGCAACCUGCCUCAUACUGGGGGAUAGCAGUUGGAAACGACUGAUAAUACCGCAUAAGCGCACAGAGUCGCAUGACUCAGUGUGAAAAACUCCGGUGGUAUGAGAUGGGCCCGCGUCAGAUUAGCUAGUUGGUAAGGUAACGGCUUACCAAGGCGACGAUCUGUAGCCGGACUGAGAGGUCGGACGGCCACAUUGGGACUGAGACACGGCCCAAACUCCUACGGGAGGCAGCAGUGGGGGAUAUUGCACAAUGGAGGAAACUCUGAUGCAGCGACGCCGCGUGAGUGAAGAAGUAUUUCGGUAUGUAAAGCUCUAUCAGCAGGGAAGAAAGGCUCGUAAGAGAGAUGACGUAC
rnacentral:rRNA from 1 species